GUCUCUUUGAAAAUUAUUAAUAAAGAGUUGGGCCUGCUCGGUGAGAAGAAAAAUUUAACAGCUGCGGUAUUAUAACUGUACUAAGGUAGCAUAAUAAUUUGCCUUAUAAAUUAAGGCUAGAAUGAAUGGUUUGACGAAAAUUAGACUGUCUUUAUUUUAUUUGUUAGAAAUUAAUUUUUAUAGUGAAAAAGCUUGAAUAAUUUAAGGGGACGAGAAGACCCUAUUGAGCUUUAUUUAUUAAUAUUUAAAUAUAAAUAUAUAAUUUAUAUUAUGAAAAUUAUGUUGUAUAUAUAUAUAUUUAAUUGGAUUUAAUUUUGAUUGGGGUGAUCAAGGAAUAAAGAUAAAGUAACUUCCUUAAAAUUAAUGAUUGUUUUUAUAGAGUAAUAAACCAAGUUUUUUGCUUAUAAGAUAAGUUACCAUAGGGGUAACAGCGUAAUUUUUUUUGAGAGUUCAUAUUGAAAAAAGAGAUUGCGACCUCGAUGUUGGAUUAAAAAUUACCUUAAGGUGUAGAGGCUUUGUUAGGUGAAUCUGUUCGAUUUUUAAAAUUUU
rnacentral:rRNA from 1 species